rnacentral:rRNA from 2 species
AGAGUUUGAUCAUGGCUCAGGAUGAACGCUGGCGGCGUGCUUAAUACAUGCAAGUCGAACGGAGACAGUAGCAAUAUUGUCUUAGUGGCGAACGGGUGAGUAACGCGUUGGUGACCUGCCUCGAAGAGAGGGAUAACAGUUCGAAAGGAUUGCUAAUACCUCAUGUGGUUGCUUGGGUUAGAGACCUUGCAACUAAACGGAUUUAUUCGCUUCGAGAGGGGCCUGCGUCCCAUCAGCUAGUUGGUAGGGUAAUGGCCUACCAAGGCGAUGACGGGUAGGGGACCUGAGAGGGUGGCCCCCCACAAUGGAACUGAAACACGGUCCAUACACCUACGGGUGGCAGCAGUAGGGAAUAUUGGUUAAUCUGGGAAACCGGGAACCAGCAACGCCGCGUGCGCGAUGAAGGCCUUCGGGUUGUAAAGCGCUUUUAGAGAGGAUGAGGAAGGACAGUACUCUCUGAAUAAGCCUCGGCUAACUACGUGCCAGCA